UACAAAAAUUUGUAAUAUAUGAGAAAAAAAAAUUAUAAAAAUUUAAAGAUUUUUAAUAUACGUAUAUCACAAGAAAUUUUCGUUUUGUGAUACACUAUUAUAAAUUUGCUUCUUUCUUCACUCACACAGGGGAAGUUAUUUUGAUCAUUCAUAUUGGGAUUUUAGACAAGAAUUAGACAAGCACUUAGAUAAAAAUACGAUUUGAUAAACAGAAAAAAACAAUAGCAAAGCAAUUUGUAUAAAUCAAGACUUAUUUCCACUUGGUGUGUGUAAGAUAUCUUUUAAAAUAAUCAUAUUUUACAAUUUACAUUAAAAUCUAAAGUUUACUUUUUUAUUUCCACACACUUCACUCAUAUUAAAAGAGCAAGUAAAUAAAAGAUCCAUAUUUUGUUUUCUGAGCCAAAACAAGAUAAAUAAACAUUAGAAUAAUAUACGUGGGUAGUGGAAAUGUGUAAUAUUUAUUCAGCAUUAUUUUAAUCAUUAUACUUUAAAUUAAUUAAGGCUCCGAAAAUUUAGAACAUAAUUUAACCACUUUUAUCAUAAUUACACAAAGCAAAAUAAAAUUUUGUCAAGUAGCGUGAAGUGAAAGUGGCUUGUAUUCCUACAUAUAUGUCAUGAAGAAAGUGUUGGAGAUCAUCACGCUUAACGAGACUUUUGUGGCAUCGUCCAAAGGCAAGCAGGAGGCAUCCUGUUUAGCACCGUAGAUGCCGCAUUGUGAAUGGCGACGAUACGAAGCGAAUUGCAGUUGCUCUAAUCAAAAUCGAGGUUGAUAUCGGCAAGGAAAUGUCGUGUCAUGACGAAGAUACACGCCAUCGAGAUCGCAAUCGAUUAUUCGGCAUGCAGUCUCGUGUGUCUCGUCACGCAAUGUAUCACGUGGAAGCGAUUACGAGAACGAAAUCACACGGGCGAUUCACACGGGUACGAGUCGUGAUCCAGUGUAUUAUUGAAAAAUUAUUAUGAAUGUUGUACAAUAAGUAAAAAUGUUAAAUAUGAUACUGACAUAAAAUGAUGUAACAAAUCAA